rnacentral:rRNA from 1 species
AGUGAACGCUGGCGGUAGGCCUAACACAUGCAAGUCGAACGGCAGCACAGGAGAGCUUGCUCUCUGGGUGGCGAGUGGCGGACGGGUGAGGAAUACAUCGGAAUCUACUCUGUCGUGGGGGAUAACGUAGGGAAACUUACGCUAAUACCGCAUACGACCUACGGGUGAAAGCAGGGGAUCUUCGGACCUUGCGCGAUUGAAUGAGCCGAUGUCGGAUUAGCUAGUUGGCGGGGUAAAGGCCCACCAAGGCGACGAUCCGUAGCUGGUCUGAGAGGAUGAUCAGCCACACUGGAACGGAGACACGGUCCAGACUCCUACGGGAGGCAGCAGUGGGGAAUAUUGGACAAUGGGCGCAAGCCUGAUCCAGCCAUACCGCGUGGGUGAAGAAGGCCUUCGGGUUGUAAAGCCCUUUUGUUGGGAAAGAAAUCAAGCUGGCUAAUACCCGGUUGGGAUGACGGUACCCAAAGAAUAAGCACCGGCUAACUUCGUGCCAGCAGCCGCCGUAA